GAUGAAGAACGUAGCGAAAUGCGAUAAGUAAUGUGAAUUGCAGAAUUCAGUGAAUCAUCGAAUCUUUGAACGCACAUUGCGCCCGCCAGUAUUCUGGCGGGCAUGCCUGUCUAAGCGUCAUUUCAACCCUCAUGCCCCUAGGGCGUGGUGUUGGGGAUCGGCCAAAGCCCGCGAGGGACGGCCGGCCCCUAAAUCUAGUGGCGGACCCGUCGUGGCCUCCUCUGCGAAGUAGUGAUAUUCCGCAUCGGAGAGCGAUGAGCCCCUGCCGUUAAACCCCCAACUUUCCAAGGUUGACCUCAGAUCAGGUAGGAAUACCCGCUGAACUUAAGCAUAUCAAUAAGCGGAGGA
rnacentral:misc_RNA from 1 species